rnacentral:rRNA from 1 species
GCUGGAAACAGUCCUUCCCCUUUGGGGCCGGUUCACAGGUGGUGCAUGGUUGUCGUCAGCUCGUGUCGUGAGAUGUUGGGUUAAGUCCCGCAACGAGCGCAACCCUCGUUCCAUGUUGCCAGCGCGUAAUGGCGGGGACUCAUGGGAGACUGCCGGGGUCAACUCGGAGGAAGGUGGGGACGACGUCAAAUCAUCAUGCCCCUUAUGUCUUGGGCUUCACGCAUGCUACAAUGGCCGGUACAAAGGGUUGCGAUACCGUGGGGUGGAGCUAAUCCCAAAAAGCCGGUCUCAGUUCGGAUUGGGGUCUGCAACUCGACCCCAUGAAGUCGGAGUCGCUAGUAAUCGCAGAUCAGCAACGCUGCGGUUAAUACGUUCCCGGGCAUUGUACACACCGCCCGU